CUAACCUGCAAAAGCUAGAGAUGCAGACGGCCGUACAAACAUGAACGAACGGCAAAUCAAAUCCGCUGCGUUGUCAAUGGCGGAAGAGAAGAAUCGAACUCCAAUCAGGAGUUUGAUGUGCUGUUUCCUUUUGAUUAAUGCAGAAUCAUGAUGUUGCUUUAUGAAAAUUCUUUAGGUUAGAAACGAGUAGUUGUAAUUAGAACUCGACGGUUGUCUCUUGAACAAUGGCAGCGUCGGCAAAAACUCUUGCUAUUCCGGAUCAGUCGAAUAAUGGCGACUGGACGAUUGUUUUACCUCGUCGUGGCAGGCAGAGGAAGAAUUUGCCGAAGCUAAGAAAACAAGAAGAUCAGCGGACUUGGUCUCCGUCUGAUCAGGCCAAUGAUACAAUCAGGGAAUCGAAACUGUUGCAUAAGAUGGAAAUCUGUAUUAAGAAAGUUGAGAUCUCCCAAUUUUAUCGAACUCUUGUUGUUGAGCUUGAAACGAUGCCGGUCUUGGAAUCCUUGAAUAGGGUUUUGGCCUCGGAGUCGAAGAUGGGGAUGGUUAUCUAUGGCGUAGGAAGCAUUGAAAAUUAUGAAAAUCCUCGAUUGCAGCUCAGUCUUGCUAUAUUGUUGAAGAGAAAAUUUAGUUGGAUUGGAAGGUUAGAGGUGUUCGAUCCAAUUCUUUCUGCAAUCGAAUGUCGGAUUAUUGAAUCCUUUGGUUGUUCUGUUCUAUCAGUAAAUGAGCAAGGACGGCGAUGUGCGCAGAAGCCAACAAUGUUCUUCAUGCCCCAUUGCGAGGCAGAGCUGUACAACAAUCUUUUACAGGAGAAUUGGCCGGUGGAGCUGUUGAAUCAUGUUGUGCUGUUUGGAAAUAGCUUUGAGAUCUAUGAGCAGUUUGUAUCUGAAUUCAAGAACUCACCCGUUGUUGAUUCGGCAAAGUACAUCUUGGCCUCUAGAAAAUUCUCACGCGAGAUCAAAAUCAAGACACUUUAAGAUGAAUAUUUUGGUGCUUUCCAUGAUUCAAGUUGGCAUUUUUUCAGCCCUGUUUUACCGACAGAGCUGCAGUUCACAGAUCUUUGAGGACAUUGUCUAGUGCUUGGAGAAACAGCCAGCCAUGUAUACUCAAAAUAGAGCUUCAAGGAAUUGCCACAAGUUGAUUAAAACAUGCUUCUAUUGUUCGUUGGGAAGAUUUAAAAUCCUGAGUACCUUCUUUGGAAGGAGGGAAUGGAUGCCAUAUUUGACCACCACAACUACAAUGAAAAGGGAAAGGUAAAAGUUCGUCUCUGCAUUUGAGAAAUAUGCACUGACACGGUGAAAUGUUUAGUCAUCAAAGACAGUGGAAACCAUGCAAUACCCUCAUGUAAAGAGUUCAAGCUUCUAAUGAGGAAGCGUUUAGUUACUAAAUCUUUCCACAAAUUGUAAACUUUGAGACAGGGAGCAAAAAUGUGGAAAAAUACUAUGAAAAGAUGCUCUCAUUGCUUGAGGAGAUUAACUUAUAUGUGGAUGAGGAAGCUACCAUGAACCGUUCUACCAAGGACUGGACUUAAUGAGGAGAUUGCAGAGAUGAUUGCCAAUCAAGAAGAAAUUCAACCUUGUGAGGAUUUGAUCUUAAGGCUAUCCAUUGGAAGCAUUGAACAGUGGAAUAUCUAACAGCUAAACUGAGCAUUCUGAUGUUACCCAAACUACAGUAAAAGACCUUUCAUUGAAGUUCAAAAUGAUUCCUAGUCCACUAAUUAAUUAA